rnacentral:rRNA from 1 species
UACGAAGGGUGCAAGCGUUACUCGGAAUUACUGGGCGUAAAGCGUGCGUAGGUGGUUGUUUAAGUCUGUUGUGAAAGCCCUGGGCUCAACCUGGGAAUUGCAGUGGAUACUGGGCGACUAGAGUGUGGUAGAGGGUAGUGGAAUUCCCGGUGUAGCAGUGAAAUGCGUAGAGAUCGGGAGGAACAUCAGUGGCGAAGGCGGCCAUCUGGGACAACACUGACGCUGAGGCACGAAAGCGUGGGGAGCAAACAGG